rnacentral:lncRNA from 1 species
UGGAGGAUUAGUUGUUUGGAGUGUGGUUACGGAGUUUCUCAACCCACACUUUUUCAACGUUGGUAACCAUUAAGAAAAGACAUAGAAUACUCAAUUCUGUUCACUCAAAUUUGGUAGAUUCCGGGAGUGAGUUUCUUACCCCAACAUUAGUGUUACAAUGCACACCAGUUUAACUGUAGUUAGCUACUUUCAUUCAGGGCUCUUGUUAGCAUCUUAUAGUAAAGGCGUGGAUGAGGAGGGGGGAAAAUAAAGCUUUGACAGAUGGUACUCAGCGUUUGACUCCUGCUGAGCUCAGCAGGACCUGUGGUUUCCAAGGUUAGGGCUGUCAAAAUGGCUCUGUCUAUCAAGUGAAUAACAAAGUGUAGACUGCCUGUCUGUUUCCUAUACAAAACUUAGAUUUCAUUUGCCAUUAUUGUCGGCCUUUCUGCUGAUUUAAUAACUUCUAAGGAGAAGAACUAGGGGUUCUGAUGCAGCCUCACUAUUUAAGAAACUACUUGGAAAGGGAAUUCUCAAGGGCUGAAAGAGGUAGGCCGCGAUCUGAUCUCUUUCUCUUUGGUUUCUCUCUAAGGCUUCAAGACUUAAAAAGGAUUCAAAAGACACCAAAGGUUCACUUUUGGCUAAAAGCUAAAUGUGAACCUUUCAAAAUGAACUCAUUGCUGUCUUCCUCUCAAAAGGCCUUCAGAUGGUCAGAUAAAGUACCUGAUGCUGAAAAACAGGAAAUUGAAUCAUGUCUCCAAAAUGUGCUUUUUGUCAUGCACUGUUACAGCUAUAUUUCUUGCUCUUUAGGCCUUAAUGAUUGGCAUGAUCUUGGAAAUCAGUUAGGUAUGUAGCAAAACUCUCCUAGAAACCUGAAAGAUGUGGCAAGAAGAAAACAUGGAGCCUUUUCUGAACAAGCCUAUGAAAGAAGAAUCACUUCAACUCAUAAGUGUGGAUUCUGGGGCUAAAGAACUUACCUACGACCACACAGCCAGCAAAUUACUGACCCAGCAUAUUCUGAACCCAGGUCUUUAUUCUUUCCAAGACUUCACACGCCUUCCUUAGAGCAUCUCUACAUGAAAAUCUGUAUAAAGAAGUGAUCUGUGGUGUUGCCAUUUGUAUCAGAAUGGUAUCACAAACUUAUUUAAAAGACUUUAUCUAAAAGUCUUCAGAUAGAGUUUUGGCCAGGGAAGAGCUCUAAUAUCACACAUUAAUAACCUUACCUUUGUAACAUGUAAAUUGUUUUUUGUUUUAACAUCUCAGUUUCAUUAAACUGAGACCAGAAAGAGCCAUCAUCUUUUUACCAAUUUGUAAUCA